rnacentral:rRNA from 1 species
CCUACGGGUGGCAGCAGUGGGGAAUAUUGGACAAUGGGGGAAACCCUGAUCCAGCGACGCCGCGUGAGUGAAGAAGUAUUUCGGUACGUAAAGCUCUAUCAGUAGGAAAGAAAAUGACGGUACCUGACUAAGAAGCCCCGGCUAAUAACGUGCCAGCAGCCGCGGUAAUACGUAGGGGGCAAGCGUUAUCCGGAUUUACUGGGGGAAAAGGGAGCGUAGGCGGCAGGGCAAGUCUGGAGUGAAAUGCCGGGGCGCAACCCCGGAACUGCUCUGGAAACUGUGAGGCUGGAGUGCAGGAGAGGUGAGCGGAAUUCCUGGUGUAGCGGUGAAAUGCGUAGAUAUCAGGAGGAACACCGGCGGCGAAGGCGGCUUACUGGACUGUAACUGACGUUGAGGCUCGAAGGCGUGGGGAGCAAACAGGAUUAGAUACCCUUGUAGUC